rnacentral:rRNA from 1 species
AAAUUGAAGAGUUUGAUCAUGGCUCAGAUUGAACGCUGGCGGCAGGCCUAACACAUGCAAGUCGAACGGUAACAGGAAGCAGCUUGCUGCUUCGCUGACGAGUGGCGGACGGGUGAGUAAUGUCUGGGAAACUGCCUGAUGGAGGGGGAUAACUACUGGAAACGGUGGCUAAUACCGCAUAACGUCGCAAGACCAAAGAGGGGGACCUUCGGGCCUCUUGCCAUCAGAUGUGCCCAGAUGGGAUUAGCUUGUUGGUGAGGUAACGGCUCACCAAGGCGACGAUCCCUAGCUGGUCUGAGAGGAUGACCAGCCACACUGGAACUGAGACACGGUCCAGACUCCUACGGGAGGCAGCAGUGGGGAAUAUUGCACAAUGGGCGCAAGCCUGAUGCAGCCAUGCCGCGUGUAUGAAGAAGGCCUUCGGGUUGUAAAGUACUUUCAGCGGGGAGGAAGGUGUUGCGGUUAAUAACCGCAGCAAUUGACGUUACCCGCAGAAGAAGCACCGGCUAACUCCGUGCCAGCAGCCGCGGUAAUACGGAGGGUGCAAGCGUUAAUCGGAAUUACUGGGCGUAAAGCGCACGCAGGCGGUCUGUCAAGUCGGAUGUGAAAUCCCCGGGCUCAACCUGGGAACUGCAUUCGAAACUGGCA